CCUACGGGAGGCAGCAGUGAGGAAUAUUGGUCAAUGGACGAGAGUCUGAACCAGCCAAGUAGCGUGAAGGAUGACUGCCCUAUGGGUUGUAAACUUCUUUUAUAUGGGAAUAAAAUGUUCCACGUGUGGGAUUUUGUAUGUACCAUAUGAAUAAGGAUCGGCUAAAUCCGUGCCAGCAGCCGCGGUAUUACGGAGGAUCCGAGCGUUAUCCGGAUUUAUUGGGUGUAAAGGGAGCGUAGGUGGAUUGUUAAGUCAGUUGUGAAAGUUUGCGGCUCAACCGUAAAAUUGCAGUUGAAGCUGGCAGUCUUGAGUACAGUAGAGGUGGGCGGAAUUCGUGGUGUAGCGGUGAAAUGCUUAGAUAUCACGAAGAACUCCGAUUGCGAAGGCAGUUCACUGGACUGCAACUGACACUGAGGCUCGAAAGUGUGGGUAUCAAACAGGAUUAGAUACCCCUGUAGUC
rnacentral:rRNA from 1 species